AUGUGGGGAAGAAGAACCAGCAGUAGGCAGGAGAAGAAGGAGCAGCUGGAGCGCACAAGCAGCAGCAAUUUUGAGCAGAGAAGGGUACCGACAGGGAGGCGCAAGGAGGUGGAGAGGAUGAACAAUAGCAGGGGGGUUGCAAGGAAGGAGCAGCAGCGGUGCUUGGAGAAGAGCAACAGGAGGUCGAGAGGAAGAAGGAAGAUGCAGCAGCAACAGCAGGUUCAGAGAGGAAGCGGCAGGAGGGGCGCGCGAGGUGGGCGCUGGUGGAGUGGUGGAUGGAUGGCGCGGCGCGGCUGGGAUGGAUGGAUGGUGCGGUGGAUGGUGCUCGUGGCUGAGUGGAGGAGCAGCAGGCGCACCGCCACGCCGGCCUGGCCGCGGCGGCGGCCGGUGGUGGAGAAGGAGGGGUGA
rnacentral:rRNA from 1 species